rnacentral:rRNA from 1 species
UCGAGAAUCUUCGGCAAUGGGCGCAAGCCUGACCGAGCGACGCCGCGUGCGGGAUGAAGGCCUUCGGGUUGUAAACCGCUGUCAGUGGGGAGGAAAUCUGAGAGGGUUCUCUCUUUCAGUUGACCUAUCCGCAGAGGAAGCAUGGGCUAAGUUCGUGCCAGCAGCCGCGGUAAGACGAACCAUGCGAACGUUAUUCGGAAUGACUGGGCUUAAAGCGUUCGUAGGCGGUCUCGAAAGUUGGGUGUGAAAUCCCCCGGCUCAACCGGGGAAUUGCGCCCAAAACUGCGGGACUCGAGGGAGAUAGAGGUGGGCGGAACUUCGGGUGGAGCGGUGAAAUGCGUUGAUAUCCGAAGGAACACCAGAGGCGAAAGCGGCCCACUGGAUCUUUUCUGACGCUGAGGCACGAAAGCUAGGGGAGCGAACG